rnacentral:rRNA from 1 species
GACGAACGCUGGCGGCGUGCUUAACACAUGCAAGUCGAACGGAAAGGCCCUGCUUGCAGGGUACUCGAGUGGCGAACGGGUGGGUAACCCGUGGGUGAUCUGCCCUGCACUUCGGGGUAAGCCUGGGAAACUGGGGCUAAUACCGGAUAGGAGCCAUUUUUAGUGUGAUGGUUGGAAAGUUUUUUCGGUGUAGGGUGAGCUCGCGGCCUAUCAGCUUGUUGGUGGGGUAAUGGCCUACCAAGGCGGCGACGGGUAGCCGGCCUGAGAGGGUGGACGGCCACAUUGGGACUGAGAUACGGCCCAGACUCCUACGGGAGGCAGCAGUGGGGAAUAUUGCACAAUGGGCGCAAGCCUGAUGCAGCGACGCCGCGUGGGGGAUGACGGCCUUCGGGUUGUAAACUCCUUUCGCUAGGGACGAAGCUUUUUGUGACGGUACCUAGAUAAGAAGCACCGGCUAACUACGUG